UUCGUUUGCAACACAAUGGCAACUAUGCGAGCCAAUUCUAAUUGGCAUCCAUGGCAAUUUGUGGCAUAUCAAUAUCAGCUGAUCAUUAAAACAGUUCAAACAAAGUUCUUAUAAAAUGGAAGAAAAAAAAACGUUCGCGGAUAAAUGGAACUUUUCGUUGGACAGAACGACAAACUAAAGAUUUACUCAACAUUAUCGUGGAAAAUGUAAAAGCUAAUCCGGAACAGUUCGAGGUAAUAUGUUUGCUAUUUCCAAUAAGAGGGUAUUUAACAUUUAGUGAACUUACAUAUGUAUU